AAUGCAUUCGCCACUGAUAUCAGCGCUUGUCAUGUAUAUCUCAGACUUUACACCCUUUAUUUUUCCUUUGAAUUUUAAUAUAAUUCUAUUUUUAAAAUUGCUGCUAACUUACCAACCAGUGACUACCACACAGUCGUGUGGCUAAUCAUCUCCCUGUUAAUUGCUUACCAGGCAUUCAGUCCCCACUCUCACCUCUUCCUUUCUGAUAGAGUCCAAGUUCACCAUCCUUAUCCUGCAGCAAACCUACCUCCAACCUCAUGGGUGAACCCUGACAGACCAUGCCAAUCACAGUCAUCUCUUUUGUUCUUUCAGCAUUGGUCAAGACCUAGGAGCACAACAUAGUCACAGGUGAUGAGAUGUGAGAGUUUACUGGGAGCCUCUGGGAAAGGUUGCUUUACUCUUACAAAGAGGCAUUCAUGAAACCAUGUCCCUGUUCUUUCUCUGCAGGUGACUGGAUCAGAGUGAUGCCAGGCCCUCUGCAGCCAUUUUGUGUCCAUGAGAAGAGCUAGUCCAGAGACAAAGUGGACAUUCAGAGAAGGACACAAAGGAGCAAAUCCCAAUCCCUAGAGGCAUUCCAUCAGUUCACCCACCCCCUGGGCUUUGCACAAGAUGGAGAUCUGAGGUCUGGGCCUGAAACCACAUGCUUCAACCAUCUGACAGCAUUUACUCCUGCACCAGGUUCCAGAUUCUGGAGAAAAGGGCUCAGAAAAGUCCUCCAUAAGGUCCCUCCUCCGAUAAGACUUCUUCCUGCAGAAUCACAUCUCCAUUAAGGCUGAAGCAUCUGUCCCUGGCAGAAGCUCUGUCUUGCGCUCAGACACUCUACCCAGACUUUGUUCCUGGCGGCACCAGAGAACUUCCCCAGCCCGGGGAGGAAUCUCUGAGGAUCACAGGUCAGUGGCAGCUCCUGGAUUCCUGGAAAAACCCAGGUUCAGGGUUGGGAGGAAGAGAGAGCUGCAAGUGUGCAGUGGGGGGUGAAACCGGCCCAUCUUCAAAGCUGCAGCAGAGAGACCUCUCUCCAAGGCAGCGCAGUCACGUGGGGCUUGCACGCCUACAUGCGCAACUCCCAGGAAGUCUAGGCCCCACCUACCCAAGAAGCAUCCUGGCCAGCCCCUCCCUGAGACCUUUCUCCGUAUUGGAGAGCUUAUCACAGUGAAAUGUAAUUGUGAGUUGACCUAUUUCCUUUUCUCCCCAGUCUUUGAGCCAUUUGAAUGCAGGGACUAUCAGAUUUGACUCAGUUUAGCUCAGGAUACAUCAACAGAGUGUGUGUGCCCCCUUCUAUAGUGCUGGUAUCAACAGGGACACAUAGCAGCAC
rnacentral:lncRNA from 9 species